AUCAAGCUGUCUCUGUGACUGGGAUUCACUCCCCUCCCCUCAGAUCCGUGCUUCUUAUUUCCUGCUGGUCCCGCUGACAGCUCCAACUGACACACACGCCACCAAUAUCACUCAGGUCCCAGGAGCCCCCGCUCAUCCUCUUUCUCUCAGGCCCCAACUCUCAGAGUACACACAGCUUCCCACCCAGAAAACCGCCGAGAGAGAAGUCGGGGCCUGGGACUGAAGCCCUGUUUCCAGGCACUUGGAACUCGGAAGACAACCACAGCUUCUCCUGUCACCAUGACACAAGCGACCCUGUAGAGGGGCCAGCCUGGACACUGACGGAUGGGGACAGUCUGCGCUGGUUGCCAUGCCCCUCAGCAGGAGAGCGCUCUGAAAGAAUGGGAGGAUUACCAACUCUCCUUUGGGGCUGGGAUGCAACACAAACAUUUGAUGAUCAAUAGAAGACUUUAUAAAUAAUGAACAGAACUCACAGAAUUGUGCUUGGACUCCUGAUGCCUGGAAAUGCCUGCCAUACUUUGCUUCUCCUCCAGGGCUCAGUCUAGGGUGGCCUGUGCACCUAUGGGACAAUGCACUAUGCUGAAGUCCACAAUUGGCCACAAGAGGGCAGGAGGUCACCAGCAAGGAUGCUCAGGCCUAAACUUCACGCUGGAGCAAAUCAGGCCCCAGGCGCUGAUGAUGUCUGAUGCUGAGACCACAAACUGAAACAUUCCAACCAACAUCAACCCUAAACCUAAGUUAGUGCCCAAAGUUCUGCAGAUGCCAUUCCUCUGCCUAAAGCUCUCUGUCUCUUAUUCAAGGCAGCAAAAUAGGCACCUCCUCAAUCUUCACACACCAAACGGAACCUCAAGGUGAUCACGAACUUAUUCCAAGACAAAUGACUACUUCUGUUUGCAAGAAUCUCAAUUUCAAAUGUAGAAAGAAAUUGAGAAGCUUUAGGUGUUUAGGGAACAGCCUCAAGAAUUCCCAGAACCCUCUUAUUACAAUUUUUUCUUAUACAAAUAAAAAUAUCUAA
rnacentral:lncRNA from 1 species